rnacentral:lncRNA from 1 species
GUCUGGUUACCUGAGCCAGGUCUGGGGCCAGGCAGCAUGCAUUCUAGUCCUGCCUGGGACACUCACUGGCCUCAAGAUCUUGGGCAAAACAGCUGACUGCUUUGCACCUCAGUUUCCUCAUCUGUAAGGUCCAGGACUACCCACUUCCCUUGGAAUGGUGUUGCCAUCACUGUUCUGGCACCGGAGAAAGGAUUCUACAUCGUUAGGAGAAAAGAAAAAGGAGAAUUUGGGCUUGCACUGAGAGGAUUACCUUUGGUGGUCUGGAAGUGGUGGGGUUGCAGCAUUGAAGGCACCAUCUUGGAAGCAGAGACUAGACCCUCACCAAGCAAUUAACAUGCUGGUGCAUUGAUCUUGGACUUUCCAGCCUCCAGAACUGGAAGUCCCUGCAUGGACACUGCCAGCUUCAUUGCACUUCUGCCUCUAUGCUUUUUCCUGAACCUUCUCCACCUCUGGAACGUACUUCAGGCUGCACAGGGAGCAUGGCUGGGAGGCCUCAGGAAACUGACAAUCAUCAGUAGAAGAUGAAGAGGAAGGAGGCGCAUCUUACAUGGCCAGAGAAGGAGGAAGAAUAAGAAGGGAUUCUCCAGCUGGAGCCCUAUAAAUUGGACUGACAAAAGACAGAUUAGCAAGAGAAAUGCAAGCAGCAGUUUAUUAACAUGUGCAUCAUGAUUACACAUGGAAGUACCCAGAGGCAGAAUUAAAGAUUCAAGAUGUACCUACUUCUUCCGGGGACAACAUUCAUGAUUCUUAAAGAUUUCACAAGUGUACCUUCUAAGGUAAAUUAUAAACAGUGCCAAAGAAUUUGCUUCACCGCAUGCCUAUAGGGUUGUGAAUCAG